ACGCCUGGCGUCCCCUCAGGCUAGCACAUGCAAGUCGAACGGUAACAGGNCGCAGCUGGCUGCUGCGCGGGAGUGGCGGACGGGUGAUAAUGUCUGGGAAACUGCCUGAUGGAGGGGGAUAACUACUGGAAACGUAGCUAAUACCGCAUAACGUCGCAAGACCAAAGAGGGGGACCUUCGGGCCUCUUGCCAUCGGAUGUGCCCGGAUGGGAUUAGCUAGUAGGUGGGGUAACGGCUCACCUAGGCGACGAUCCCUAGCUGGUCUGAAGGAUGACCAUCCACACUGGAACUGAGACGGCCAGACUCCUACGGGAGGCAUCAGUGGGGAAUAUUGCACAAUGGGCGCAAGCCUGAUGCAGCCAUGCCGCAUGUAUGAAGAAGGCCUUCGGGUUGUAAAACUUUCAGCGGGGAGGAAGGCGAUAAGGNUAAUAACCUUGUCGAUUGACGUUACCCCCCCGCAGACGCGCCGACUAACACCGAGCCAGCAGCCGCGGUAAUACGAGAGGGGUACACGAGUAAAAUCGAUAAUAACUGGGCGUAAAUCGCACUCGGCGGUCUGCCAUACUCGGUCUGAACUGCCCCUUGCUCGACUGGGGAACUGCUUUCGNCACUUGGCCGCAAGAUCCUGGUAACGGCUUGUAUUUCCGUUGUAGCUCUAAAAUCGUUCAUAUCUGGGAAGGAAUACCGGUGGGCAAGGUGGCCCCUACCCAGACAGACGUCGGGGCGAACUGGGGGAGCAAACAUGAUCAGACAACCNGGUGUAUUUCNCCCCCUUCGAUCUAUGAAGUUGUGUCCCUGAUGCGUAGCUGUCG
rnacentral:rRNA from 1 species